rnacentral:rRNA from 2 species
GGGCGCAGCCCUGGAUGGAGCACACCGCGUGAGUGAAGAAGGGUUUCGGCUCGUAAAGCUCUGUUGUUAAAGAAGAACACGUAUGAGAGUAACUGUUCAUACGUUGACGGUAUUUAACCAGAAAGUCACGGCUAACUACGUGCCAGCAGCCGCGGUAAUACGUAGGUGGCAAGCGUUAUCCGGAUUUAUUGGGCGUAAAGAGAGUGCAGGCGGUUUUCUAAGUCUGAUGUGAAAGCCUUCGGCUUAACCGGAGAAGUGCAUCGGAAACUGGAUAACUUGAGUGCAGAAGAGGGUAGUGGAACUCCAUGUGUAGCGGUGGAAUGCGUAGAUAUAUGGAAGAACACCAGUGGCGAAGGCGGCUACCUGGUCUGCAACUGACGCUGAGACUCGAAAGCAUGGGUAGCGAACAGGAUUAGAUACCCUGGUAGUCCAUGCCGUAAACGAUGAGUGCUAGGUGUUGGAGGGUUUCCGCCCUUCAGUGCCGGAGCUAACGCAUUAAGCACUCCGCCUGGGGAGUACGACCGCAAGGUUGAAACUCAAGAAAUU